rnacentral:rRNA from 1 species
UACAGAGGGGGCAAGCGUUAUUCGGAAUUAUUGGGCGUAAAGAGCUCGUAGGCGGCUCGUCGCGUCGACCGUGAAAACCCGCGGCUUAACCGCGGGCUUGCGGUUGAUACGGGCGGGCUAGAGUUCGGUAGGGGAGACUGGAAUUCCUGGUGUAGCGGUGAAAUGCGCAGAUAUCAGGAGGAACACCGGUGGCGAAGGCGGGUCUCUGGGCCGAUACUGACGCUGAGGAGCGAAAGCGUGGGGAGCGAACAGG